AACGAACGCUGGCGGCAUGCCUAACACAUGCAAGUCGAACGAGACCUUCGGGUCUAGUGGCGCACGGGUGCGUAACGCGUGGGAACCUGCCCUUAGGUUCGGAAUACCUCCCCGAAAGGGGUGCUAAUACCGGAUAAUGUCUUCGGCCCAAAGAUUUAUCGCCUUUGGAUGGGCCCGCGUUGGAUUAGCUAGUUGUUAGGGUAAAAGCAUACCAAGGCGACGAUCCAUAGCUGGUCUGAGAGGAUGAUCAGCCACACUGGGACUGAGACACGGCCCAGACUCCUACGGGAGGCAGCAGUGGGGAAUAUUGGAAAAUGGGCGAAAGCCUGAUCCAGCAAUGCCGCGUGAGUGAUGAAGGCCUUAGGGUUGUAAAGCUCUUUUACCCGGGAUGAUAAUGACAGUACCGGGAGAAUAAGCUCCGGCUAACUCCGUG
rnacentral:rRNA from 1 species